rnacentral:rRNA from 1 species
UCCUACGGGUGGCUGCAGUGGGGAAUAUUGGACAAUGGGCGAAAGCCUGAUCCAGCAAUGCCGCGUGAGUGAUGAAGGCCUUAGGGUUGUAAAGCUCUUUUACCCGGGAAGAUAAUGACUGUACCGGGAGAAUAAGCCCCGGCUAACUCCGUGCCAGCAGCCGCGGUAAUACGGAGGGGGCUAGCGUUGUUCGGAAUUACUGGGCGUAAAGCGCACGUAGGCGGCUUUGUAAGUUAGAGGUGAAAGCCUGGGGCUCAACUCCAGAAUUGCCUUUAAGACUGCAUCGCUUGAACACGGGAGAGGUGAGUGGAAUUCCGAGUGUAGAGGUGAAAUUCGUAGAUAUUCGGAAGAACACCAGUGGCGAAGGCGGCUCACUGGACCGUUGUUGACGCUGAGGUGCGAAAGCGUGGGGAGCAAACAGGAUUAGAUACCCGUGUAGUCGG